rnacentral:lncRNA from 1 species
GAAUAGGAUGACUUGAAAUCAUAAAGAUGUGAAUUCUAGUUAAUUUAUAAAAUUAAUGUUAUGACAGUUAAAAAAAGAUCAAAAACCAUCCCAGAGAGUUAGAUUAGUUGAUACAAAAGUUCAUGUGGAAUAACCAGUAUGAAACGAUAGCCAGAAAGCUCCUUGAUGAGGUGAAGCCCUUUCAGGUUUGAAACACAUGAUAAAGCAUCUCUUAUGCCAUGUGUUAUAGGUGCAUGAACAGACAACAAGACUAGAGGAACGGAACUGCACAUCUAGAAGUAGAUACAGGUACAUAAGGAAGUUUAGUACAUGAUAAAAGUGGCAUCUCAACCCACUAGGUGAAGAGGGAUUUUUUAAACAAUUGGCACUAGGACAACCGGGUAACCAUUUGGAAAACGAUACAUAUAGAUCCAUAUCUCAUUCCUAUCCAAGGGUAAAAGUCAAUUGAAUCGGGUAUCCAAACAGAUAUGCAUCUACACAUUCCUAGGCAUGUUCACAUCUACAUGUAUCCAACCAUACAAGUUCUGGAAGAAAAUGAAACUUGGUUUAUCUUCUAUAAUCUUGGUGUGGGGAAAGGGUUCCUAAACAUCACUCAAAAUCCAAAUGCAAGCAAAGAUUGAUAACUUGGACUCUAUAAUUUUUUUUAAAUUUGCAGGCAAAAUUGCCAUAAAGUCAUGAGAAAUCAGGCAAACUGAAAAUAAAUAUUUUCAACGUAAUCGAUAAAGGAUCAUAUUAAAAAAUAAUAAUAAUUCCCAGCAAACCCACUUUUAAGAACUAUAACCAACAUCUUGAAGCCUAAUCAGCCUCAGUCCAGGAAAAGAAGUGGCUGACGAGUCAGUCCAGGGAAAAAUAGUUGAUGAUGGAGAGAACUGAGAUCUCCUCAGCCAGGGAAAAUAGCCAAUGAGCAAGUAACUCCAAAGAAAACAGUUUAUGACACAGCAGACAGUGAGUGAUCCCCUGAAUCUGUGGAAAACAGGUGAUCAAGUCAUUCCAAGGAAAACAAGUCCACGACCGAAUCAGUCCAGGGGAAAGAAGUCAAUGAGGAGUCAAUCCAGAGGAAACAAGUCAAUGACCGAGUAGACUGAGGCAAAAUAAGCCGAUAACUGAGUCAAUCUAGGAGAAAGCAGUUGAGGACCGAGUCAGCCCACAGAAAAUAGUCAAUGACCAAGUCAGAGGGGAAAGAAGUCAAUGAUUGAGUCAAUCCAGGGGAAACAGUCGAUGAUAAAAUCAGUCUAAGAGAAGCCAGUUGAUGGCUGAAUUGGUCUGGGAAAGUCAAUGACCAAGUCAAUCCAGGGGGAAAGAGUCAACGACCCAGUAAGCCCAAGGAAAAUAGUCGAUGACCGAGCCAGUCCAGGGAAAAGAAGUCAAUGAGGAGUCAAUCCAGGGAAAACAAGUCAAUGACCGAGUCAACUGAGGCAAAAGAAGUCAAUGACUGAGUCAAUACAGGGGAAACAAGUCGAUGACCAAGUCAGUGCAGGCAAAAAAAAGUCGAUGAUCUAGUCAAUCUAGGGGAAACAGUCAAUGAUCAAAUUCGUCUAGGAGAAGCCAGUUGAUGACUGAACUGGUCUGGAAAAGUCAAUGACCAAGUCAAUCCAGGGGAAAGAAGUUGAUGACUGAAGAAGUCCAGCUGCUAGUUAAUGUGUGGCACACUCCAAGAAAACAGAAAGGUGCACUUUCUCAUUUAAUGCCUUAUGUAAUUGUGGGGGUAGGAUAUGUCAGGAAACAAUUAAAAAGUAGGCAAAAUAUUGUAUUUGUUAACAAAACAAGUAUAAAAUAUGUAAAGCUUUAAUCUGAGAGCCACAAAGAUAGAACCUAACAUAUUUGUGAAAUAAGGAACACAGUGAUCUCAUAGUAAACUGACAGACAAAUCUUUUAACUCAUACACUAAUAUAUGGGAUACAAGCAUUAUAUUCCACAGCAAUGACUCUCAUCUCAAGAGUUGGUUUUUCUUCUGAGCUGCUCCACUGAUGUGGGUUCCACUAUGUUGCUUGCAUUUCUAUGAUUUUGGUGGAAAUACAUUCAGAAUUAUAUACCUUGGUCAGUAUAUAAUCCCACUGGAACGACAGUGACAAAUGAUUUUGUAACUCUAGUGCAUUUCUCACCCUACACACUUGUUGGCAAUUU